rnacentral:rRNA from 1 species
UACGUAGGGGGCAAGCGUUGUCUGGAAUCAUUGGGCGUAAAGAGCGUGUAGGCGGCCAGAUAAGUCCGCUGUGAAAUCUCGAGGCUCAACUUCGAGCUGUCGGUGGAAACUGUCUGGCUAGAGUCCGGAAGAGGAGAAUGGAAUUCCUGGUGUAGCGGUGAAAUGCGCAGAUAUCAGGAAGAACACCCGUGGCGAAGGCGGUUCUCUGGGACGGUACUGACGCUGAGACGCGAAAGCGUGGGGAGCAAACAGG